UACAGAGGUCUCAAGCGUUGUUCGGAAUCACUGGGCGUAAAGGGUGCGUAGGUGGCGUGGCAAGUCAGAUGUGAAAGCCCGGGGCUCAACCUCGGAAUUACAUCCGAUACUGCCAUGCUGGAGUACUGAAGAGGUGACUAGAAUUCUCGGUGUAGCAGUGAAAUGCGUAGAUAUCGAGAGGAAUACCAAAGGCGAAGGCAGGUCACUGGGCAGUUACUGACACUGAGGCACGAAGGCCAGGGGAGCAAACGGG
rnacentral:rRNA from 1 species